AGAACAAGAAAUCUCUCCAACAGAAGCAUCUUCAAAUACAUGAAAAUGAGCACAUCCAAAGAAGUGACCAGUGUCCUGUGAUGUCUUUUGAUAAGACAAGUUGGAACUACUCUGUACAUUCACUCAGUAUUCAGAUCAGUGAUCCCUUUGAGUAAUGUCCAUAGUGUUAUGUUUUUGAGAGAUGACCAAUAGUCCUUACGUGUGGAAUUUGUGGAAGAAAAUAAAAACAAGCAAAAUGUAGCAACCUCCAGACCUGAAUGAGUUUGAUGAGAAAGCAUGGGAAGAAAUGCCAGGAGAAAACAGCAAAAUGCGAUAAGCUUUCAAUUGGCCUGGAAGGACACUGUGGCCCUGGGACAGAUGGACAGCCAUUCCUUCUGGUCUACGUUGCUGACACUGUCGGUCUGACAUUGGAGCUGUUCUGUCAACUGUGGAUUCUGCUGCCUGCAGUUUCCGAGUAG
rnacentral:lncRNA from 1 species